CCUACGGGAGGCAGCAGUGAGGAAUAUUGGUCAAUGGACGAGAGUCUGAACCAGCCAAGCCGCGUGAAGGAUGACUGCGCUAUGCGUUGUACACUUCUUUUAUCAAGGAAUAAAACGAGGCACGUGUCCCUUUUUGCGUGUACUUUAUGAAUAAGCAUCGGCUAACUCCGUGCCAGCAGCCGCGGUAAUACGGAGGAUCCGAGCGUUAUCCGGAUUUAUUGGGUUUAAAGGGGGCGUAGAUGGGUUGUUAAGUCAGUUGUGAAAUUUUGCGGCUCAACCGUACAAUGGCAAUUGAUACUGGCAGUCUUGAGUACAGGUAGGGUAGGCGGAAUGCGUGGUGUAGCGGUGAAAUGCAUAGAUAUCACGAAGAACCCCGAUUGCGAAGGCAGCUUACUAAACUGUGACUGACAUUGAUGCUCGAAAGUGUGGGUAUCAAACAGGAUUAGAUACCCCAGUAGUC
rnacentral:rRNA from 1 species